rnacentral:rRNA from 1 species
CCUACGGGGGGCUGCAGUAGGGAAUUUUGCGCAAUGGGGGAAACCCUGACGCAGCAACGCCGCGUGAUUGAUGAAGCCCUUCGGGGUGUAAAGAUCUGUCAGAGGGGACGAAACUUGACGGUACCCACAGAGGAAGCAUCUGCUAACACCGUGCCAGCAGCCGCGGUAAUACGGGGGAUGCAAGCGUUGUCCGGAAUCAUUGGGCGUAAAGAGUUCGUGGGUGGCACGUUAAGUCUGGUGUUAAAUGCAUAGGCUCAAACUCUGUUCGGCACUGGAUACUGGCGAGCUUGAAUGCGGUAGAGGAGAAGGGAAUUCCUGGUGUAGCGGUGAAAUGCGGAGAUAUAAGGAGGAACAUCGGUGGCGUAAGCGCUUUACUGGGCCGUAAUUGACACUGAGGAACGAAAGCCAGGGUAGCAAAUGGGAUUAGAUACCCUUGUAGUC